rnacentral:lncRNA from 1 species
ACGUUUUCUACAGCUAACACAGGGUACACAAAUUACAUCAAUCUAGUCGUACACUAUUACAUGGUGUACUGAGCUCUUGGAGCCGCACACAUGACAAAUUGUAAGUGCCGCCAAUGCGAUGUACUCACCACGGGGGGAAGAUCCGGCUAUUAUUCAUAGUUCUGUAUAUCCAACUACUGUUUUGGGGUCUAUGCUGGUAGACAGAAAAAGAAUUCAUUUUGGAACUAUUUGCUGUGGAUUUGUAUAUUAAUCCUGCUGCUUAUAAUUGCUUAUGUGCUACUUGCGAGGUUCGCCCCAGAAGUAGCAGAAUCAAUACGGAAGAAGUUAAAAGAAAUAUGGAAAAAGCUAACAGGAGGAAAGUCAGCCGGAA